CGACCGGCGCACGGGUGAGUAACGCGUAUCCAACCUGCCCUUUACUAUGGGACAGCCCGUCGAAAGGCGGAUUAAUACCGUAUGUUGUCAUGUUGAUGCAUAUUUUCAUGACCAAAGGCUUCGGCCGGUAAAGGAUGGGGAUGCGUCUGAUUAGCUUGCCGGCGGGGUAACGGCCCACCGGGGCGACGAUCAGUAGGGGUUCUGAGAGGAAGGUCCCCCACAUUGGAACUGAGACACGGUCCAAACUCCUACGGGAGGCAGCAG
rnacentral:rRNA from 1 species